GACGAACGCUGGCGGCGUGCUUAACACAUGCAAGUCGAACGAAGUGGCGAACGGGUGAGUAACGCGUAAUCAACCUGCCCUUCAGAGGGGGACAACAGUUGGAAACGACUGCUAAUACAGCAUACUGAAGGAGGGGAUUGUGUCUGAUUAGCUAGUUGGAGGGGGAACGGCCCACCAGGGCGAUGAUCAGUAGCCGGUUGGAGAGUAUGAACGGCCACAUCGGGACUGAGGAACGGCCCAGACGCCUACGGGAGGCAGCAGUGGGGAAUCUUCCGAAAUGGACGAAAGUCUGACGGAGCAACGCCGCGUGAGUGAUGACGGCCUUCGGGUUGUAAAGCUCUGUUAAUCGGGACGCGGUACCGGAAUAGAAAGCCACGGCUAACUACGUGCCAGCAGCCGCGGUAAUUC
rnacentral:rRNA from 1 species